UGAGGAAUAUUGGUCAAUGGGCGAGAGCCUGAACCAGCCAAGUCGCGUGAGGGAAGACGGUCCUACGGAUUGUAAACCUCUUUUGUCGGGGAGUAAUAGGCGGGACGUGUCCUGCUGUGAGAGUACCCGAAGAAAAAGCAUCGGCUAACUCCGUGCCAGCAGCCGCGGUAAUACGGAGGAUGCGAGCGUUAUCCGGAUUUAUUGGGUUUAAAGGGUGCGUAGGCGGAUGGGUAAGUCAGCGGUGAAAUGUCCCGGCUCAACCGGGGAACUGCCAUUGAUACUGCCUGUCUUGAAUGCGGAUGCCGUGGGAGGAAUGUGUAGUGUAGCGGUGAAAUGCAUAGAUAUUACACAGAACACCGAUUGCGAAGGCAUCUCACGAAUCCGUUAUUGACGCUGAGGCACGAAAGCGUGGGGAUCAAACAGGAUUAGAUACCCUGGUAGU
rnacentral:rRNA from 1 species